GCCUCCGUAGCUCAGUGGUAGAGCACCCGCCUUGUAAGCGGGCGGCCGUCGGUUCAAUCCCGACCGGGGGCUCCA
rnacentral:tRNA from 1 species